UAAACUACGAUUAGAUACCCUAUUAUUAUGAAUGUAAAAUAUUAAUUGCUUGAGUAGUAUUAGAUAUGAUCUUUAAACUUAAAGAAUUUGGCGGUGUUUUAGUCUAUUCAGAGGAACCUGUCCCAUAAUCGAUAGUCCACGUAAAAUCUUACUUGAGUUUGUUAUCAGUUUGUAUACCGCCGUCGUCAGAAUGUCUUUUGAAAGUUAAAAUUUUCAUAAAUUUUUAUUGGAAAUAAUGUCAGGUCAAGGUGCAGCUAAUACUUAAAGUGGAGAUGGGUUACAAUAAAUGUAUUUAAAUGGAUUUUAAUUUGAAACAAUAAUUUGAAAGUGGAUUUGAUAGUAAAUUUAUUAAUAAAGUUAAAUUGAUUUUAGCUCUAAAACAUGCACACAUCGCCCGUCGCUCUUA
rnacentral:rRNA from 1 species